rnacentral:rRNA from 1 species
UACAGAGGUCUCAAGCGUUGUUCGGAUUCAUUGGGCGUAAAGGGUGCGUAGGUGGCGCCGUAAGUCAGGUGUGAAAUUUCGGAGCUUAACUCCGAAACUGCAUUUGAUAACUGCGGUGCUUGAGGACUGGAGAGGAGACUGGAAUUCACGGUGAGCAGUGAAAUGCGUAGAUAUCAGGAGGAACACCGAUGGCGAAGGCAGGUCUCUGGGCCACUACUGACGCUGAGAAGCGAAAGCAUGGGGAGCGAACAGG